CCUACGGGGGGCAGCAGUGAGGAAUAUUGGUCAAUGGGCGUAAGCCUGAACCAGCCAAGUCGCGUGAGGGAUGAAGGUUCUAUGGAUCGUAAACCUCUUUUAUAAGGGAAUAAAGUGUGGGACGUGUCCUGUUUUGUAUGUACCUUAUGAAUAAGGAUCGGCUAACUCCGUGCCAGCAGCCGCGGUAAUACGGAGGAUCCGAGCGUUAUCCGGAUUUAUUGGGUUUAAAGGGUGCGUAGGCGGCCUUUUAAGUCAGCGGUGAAAGUCUGUAGCUCAACCAUAGAAUUGCCGUUGAAACUGGGAGGCUUGAGUAUGUUUGAGGCAGGCGGAAUGCGUGGUGUAGCGGUGAAAUGCUUAGAUAUCACGCAGAACCCCGAUGGCGAAGGCAGCCUGCCAAGCCAUGACUGACGCUGAUGCACGAAAGCGUGGGGAUCAAACAGGAUUAGAUACCCGGGUAGUC
rnacentral:rRNA from 1 species